rnacentral:rRNA from 1 species
GACGAACGCUGGCGGCGUGCUUAACACAUGCAAGUCGAACGGAAAGGCCCCUUUGGGGGUACUCGAGUGGCGAACGGGUGAGUAACACGUGAGUAACCUGCCCUUGACUUCGGGAUAACUUCAGGAAACUGGGGCUAAUACCGGAUAGGAAUCCUUGCUGCAUGGUGGGGGUUGGAAAGCUUCGGCGGUUUUGGAUGGACUCGCGGCUUAUCAGCUUGUUGGUGGGGUAGUGGCUUACCAAGGCUUUGACGGGUAGCCGGCCUGAGAGGGCGACCGGCCACAUUGGGACUGAGAUACGGCCCAGACUCCUACGGGAGGCAGCAGUGGGGAAUAUUGCACAAUGGGCGGAAGCCUGAUGCAGCAACGCCGCGUGCGGGAUGACGGCCUUCGGGUUGUAAACCGCUUUCGGCAGGGGCGAAGCUUGUGGUGACGGUACCUGCAGAAGAAGCACCGGCUAACUACGUG